rnacentral:lncRNA from 10 species
GGGCCCCUGGAGAGAGAGAAAGGAAGAACGUGUCAUUUGUGGGGGCCUAGGCGCCCUGGUUCUCCCUUUCUCAGAAGCGUCUUAUCUAUGGUAACAGAAACAACAUCCCAGAACAGGGUGGUCAGCUUCUCCAAAGAGGGCUGGAGUGUGGAGGCUCAAAGGCUGCAGGCAGGUCACAGCUGCUCAGCCCUGGUCCUGCCACACAAAACAGCUGCAGACGCAGGAAAAUGGAUGCGCGUCUUUGGCGCCAGCACAGCUCCAC